rnacentral:rRNA from 1 species
GUGCCUUGGGCUACACACACGCCACAAUGGACGGUACAAUUAGAUGCAAUGGAGCGAUCCGGAGCCAAUCCCUAAAACCGUUCUCAGUUCGGAUUGCAGGCUGAAACCUGCCUGCAUGAAGCUGGAGUUGCUAGUAACCGCAGGUCAGCCUACUGCGGUGAAUACGUUCUCGGGCCUU